UACGUAGGGGGCAAGCGUUGUUCGGAAUUACUGGGCGUAAAGGGCGCGUAGGCGGCACGGCAAGUCGGGUGUGAAAUCUCGGAGCUUAACUCCGAAACUGCAUUCGAUACUGCCGUGCUUGAGGACUGGAGAGGAGACUGGAAUUUACGGUGUAGCGGUGAAAUGCGUAGAUAUCGUAAGGAAGACCAGUGGCGAAGGCGGGUCUCUGGACAGUUCCUGACGCUGAGGCACGAAGGUCAGGGGAGCAAACGGG
rnacentral:rRNA from 1 species